rnacentral:rRNA from 1 species
GUGCCAGCCGCCGCGGUAAAACGUAGGAGGCGAGCGUUAUCCGGAUUUACUGGGCGUAAAGCGCAUGCAGGUGGCUCUGCAAGUCUGGUGUGAAAGCCCCUGGCUUAACUAGGGGAGUGCGCUGGAAACUGCAGGGGCUGGAGGUCGGAAGAGGAAAGCGGAAUUCCCGGUGUAGUGGUGGAAUGCGUAGAUAUCGGGAGGAACACCAGUGGCGAAGGCGGCUUUCUGGUCCGGACCUGACACUAAGAUGCGAAAGCGUGGGGAGCGAACGGGAUUAGAUACCCCGGUAGUCCACGCUGUAAACUAUGGGUACUGGGUAUUGGUGGUAUUGACCCCAUCGGUGCCGAAGCCAACGCGUUAAGUACCCCGCCUGGGGACUACGGCCGCAAGGUUAA